rnacentral:rRNA from 1 species
UACGAAGGGUGCAAGCGUUACUCGGAAUUACUGGGCGUAAAGCGUGCGUAGGCGGUCUGUUAAGUCCGUUGUGAAAGCCCUGGGCCCACCUGGGAAUUGCAGUGGAUACUGGCGGGCUAGAGUGCGGUAGAGGAUGUGAAUUCCGGUCGUAGCGGUGAAAUGCGUAGAGAUCGGGAGGAACACCCGUGGCGAAGGCGGCCAUCUGGACCAGCACUGACGCUGAGGCACGAAAGCGUGGGGAGCAAACAGG